GAAAAUUCUUAUUUUUUAAAAUUUUCAUUUUUCUUAACGACCUAUUUCCGCUAAAAGAUCAACCUAUGCUGAGUUGGCUCUCGACUUUUCAUUAGUAUUUUCAAUUCAAGAAUCAUUUCUCUUAACAAGUUAAGAUAAGAUCAUAUAUAGCUAGUCUAAUAAUUUAGGUUUGAAAAUGUUUUUUCGAGAAAAUUAAAACGUUUACAAAAAGUUUUGAAAAAUGUUUGCAAGAGUCUUGCUUUUUGCAAGACCAAGACCAAGACUAGGCGUGCAAGACCAAGACCAGACAGAUUUGAGCAAGACCAAGACC